AUUGAACGCUGGCGGCAGGUCUAACACAUGCAAGUCGAGCGGAGCGGCGGACGGGUGAGUAAUGCCUAGGAAUCUGCCUGGUAGUGGGGGAUAACGUUCGGAAACGGACGCUAAUACCGCAUACUAUCAGAUGAGCCUAGGUCGGAUUAGCUAGUUGGUGAGGUAAUGGCUCACCAAGGCGACGAUCCGUAACUGGUCUGAGAGGAUGAUCAGUCACACUGGAACUGAGACACGGUCCAGACUCCUACGGGAGGCAGCAGUGGGGAAUAUUGGACAAUGGGCGAAAGCCUGAUCCAGCCAUGCCGCGUGUGUGAAGAAGGUCUUCGGAUUGUAAAGCACUUUAAGUUGGGAGGCGUUACCGACAGAAUAAGCACCGGCUAACUCUGUGCCAGCCGCCGCGGUAAUUC
rnacentral:rRNA from 1 species